rnacentral:sRNA from 1 species
CGUCUUCGAUCUGCUGCGGGCAGAUGAAAUGAAUGUGGCUGUCGAAGCCACCGGCCGUGAUGAUCUUGCCUUCGCCCGCGAUGAUCUCUGUGCCGGGGCCGAUGACGAUGUCGACGUUCGGCUGAAUGUCCGGAUUGCCGGCCUUGCCGAUCUUCGCGAUGCGCCCAUCGCGCAGCGCGAUGUCGGCUUUGACGAUGCCCCAGUGAUCGAGGAUCAGCGCGUUGGUGAUGACCGUGUCGGCGGAGCCCUGCGCGCGUGUCACCUGACUCUGGCCCAUGCCGUCGCGGAUG